ACUCUUAAGAAAAAAGGUUCUUCAAAGGUUCUGAAACGAUGGUAAAGGUUCUAUAUAGAACCAUAGCUUACUGAAGAACCAUUUUUUGCUGAAAUGGUUCUUUGUCUUGGCAAAAGGGUUCUUUAUUUCCCUCCUUUUUUGAUUUUAAAUUUAGUCAGUUAUUUUCAAGCUGCCUCCUGAUUAUUUUCACCUGUAAAAGCUCUGAAUCAUCAGUCCUGCUGAACUGCCUGCAGACUAACAUCCCAAACAGGUAAGAGAGGAAAAUAAUCAUCAUUUACUGUUAAAAACAUUUUGAAAAUUGAAGUUUUGUGUGUUCUUAUUGUAAUUUAUUUAUUUUAUAACAGGUAAACUUUAUACUGUAAGCUUCAUUCCCUUUAAAGCAGAGUUUUUGUAUGUGAGGUAAUCUUACUGGGAGUGAAGGCAGUGCGUAUGACAGCUUAAUAUGAGACACAUCCUGUAUUUAAAGGUCAACUUUAUACUGUAAGCUUCAUUCCAUUUAUAACAGGUAAGCUUCAUACUGUUUAAAUUAUAUAUUUAGGGGACUCUACUUUGACAAUGACUUAGGAUAAUGAUUUGUUAAAGUGUUAUAAAGCAUAUACAUGUAUAUUGUACAUUAAGUUUAUUAAACUAAUUAUCAGAAGUAUGUGGUACAACAUGUGUUUAGUUUUUUUUAUUGAUAUUUCAGAGUUUUCAUAUGUGAGGUAAUCUUACUGGGAGUGAAGGCAGUGCGUAUGACCGCUUGAUAUGAGAGACACAUCCUGUUUUUAAAGGUGAUGUAUGCAUGUUACUUUCAAUCCUGGCAUUAAAAUAAUAAUAUUUACUGUUUAAACAUUUUGUAAAUUGAGGUUUUGUGUGUUUUUGAUGUACUUUAUUUCUUUUAUAACAGGUCAACAUACUGUAAGCUUCAUUCCCUUUAAAGCAGGUAAUCUUCAUAUUGUUUUAAAUGAUAUAUUUCAGGGACUCUGCUUUAACAAUGACUUAGGAUAAUGAUUUGUUAUAGUGUUUGUUAUAAAGCAUAUACAUGUAUAUUUUACAUUAAGUUUAUUAAACUAAUUAUGAAAAGAAUGUGGUACAACAUGUGUUUAGUUUUUUUUAUUGAUAUUUCAGAGUUUUCGUAUGUGAGGUAA